rnacentral:rRNA from 1 species
AGCAGCCGCGGUAAUUCCAGCUCCAAUAGCGUAUAUUAAAGUUGUUGCAGUUAAAAAGCUCGUAGUUGAAUUUUGGAUUCCACCAAUGGGUCCAUCUUUUGAUGAGUACUGGUUGUGUGUGGUCUAUCCGCCUGGUGAUACGUAAUGUCCUUUAUUGGAUGUUGCGGGUAGUCAGGACCUUUACCUUGAAAAAUUAGAGUGUUUAAAGCAGGCUUAUGCCGGAAUACAUUAGCAUGGAAUAAUAGAAUAGGACGAAGUUGUUUUAUUUUGUUGGUUUCUAGGACAACUGUAAUGAUUAAUAGGGAUAGUUGGGUGCAUUAGUAUCCAAUUGUCAAAGGUGAAAUUCUUGGAUUUAUUGAAGACUAACUACUGCGAAAGCAUUUGCCAAGGAUGUUUUCAUUAAUCAAGAACGAAAGUUAGGGGAUCGAAGACGAAUCAGAUACCGUCGUA